rnacentral:rRNA from 1 species
GAUGAACGCUGGCGGCGUGCCUAAUACAUGCAAGUCGAGCGAACAGAUGAGGAGCUUGCUCCUCUGACGUUAGCGGCGGACGGGUGAGUAACACGUGGAUAACCUACCUAUACGACUGGGAUAACUUCGGGGGACCGGAGCUAAUACCGGAUAAUAUAUUGCACCGCAUGGUUCAAUAGUGAAAGACGGUUUUGCUGUGACUUAUAGAUGGCUCCGCGCCGCAUUAGCUAGUUGGUAAGGUAACGGCUUACCAAGGCAACGAUGCGUAGCCGACCUGAGAGGGUGAUCCGCCACACGGGAACUGAGACACGGUCCAGACUCCUACGGGAGGCAGCAGUAGGGAAUCUUCCGCAAUGGGCGAAAGCCUGACGGAGCAACGCCGCGUGAGUGAUGAAGGUCUUCGGAUCGUAAAACUCUGUUAUUAGGGAAGAACAAAUGUGUAAGUAACUAUGCACGUCUUGACGGUACCUAAUCAGAAAGCCACGGCUAACUACGUG